CAAAUUACCCACUCCCGGAACGGGGAGGUAGUGACAAAAAAUAACGAUACGGGACUCGAUAUGAGGCCUCGUAAUCGGAAUGAGUACACUCUAAAUCCUUUAACAAAAAUCUAUUGGAGGGCAAGUCUGGUGCCAGCAGCCGCGGUAAUUCCAGCUCCAAUAGCGUAUAUUAAAGUUGUUGCGGUUAAAAAGCUCGUAGUUGGUUCUGCGUCCCGCGCUGUCGGUACACCGUUUGUCGGUGACACUGGCAUGACGCGGGAUGUCCUGUCGGUGGCGGCGGAGACCAUAUCGUCGUCGGAUAACACCGCGGCGUGUUGGCCUUCUGUCGCCGGCUAUAUCCUACCGCGGUGCUCUUCACUGAGUGUCGAGGUAGGCCGACACGUUUACUUUGAACAAAUUAGAGUGCUUAAAGCAGGCAAAAAUCUCUGCCAGAAUAGUGGUGCAUGGAAUAAUGGAACAGGACCUUGGUUCUAUUCUGUUGGUCUCCGGAACACAAGGUAAUGAUCAAUGUGGACAGGCGGGGGCAUUCGUAUUGCGGCGUUAGAGGUGAAAUUCUUGGAUCGUCGCAAGACGCACUAGAGCGAAAGCAAUUGCCAAGUAUGUCUUAAUUGAUCAAGAACGAAAGUUAGAGGUUCGAAGGCGAUCAGAUACCGCCCUAGUUCUAACCAUAAACGAUGCCAGCCAGCGAUCCGCCGAUGUUCCUUUGAUGACUCGGCGGGGAGCUUUCCCCGGGAAACCAAAGCUUUUGGGUUCCGGGGGAAGUAUGGUUGCAAAGCUGAAACUUAAAGGAAUUGACGGAAGGGCACCACCAGAAGUGGAGCCUGCGGCUUAAUUUGACUCAACACGGGAAACCUCACCAGGUCAGGACAUUGGAAUGAUUGACAGAUUGAUAGCUCUUUCUUGAUUCAGUG
rnacentral:rRNA from 1 species